AUUGAACGCUGGCGGUAUGCUUUACACAUGCAAGUCGAACGGCAGCACGGGGCAACCUGGUGGCGAGUGGCGAACGGGUGAGUAACAUAUCGGAACAUGUCCGGAAGUGGGGGAUAACGUACCGAAAGGUACGCUAAUACCGCAUAUGCCCUGAGGGGGAAAGGGGGGAUCGCAAGACCUCUCGCUUUCGGAGUGGCCGAUAUCGGAUUAGCUAGAUGGUGAGGUAAAGGCUCACCAAGGCGACGAUCUGUAGCGGGUCUGAGAGGAUGAUCCGCCACACUGGAACUGAGACACGGUCCAGACUCCUACGGGUGGCAG
rnacentral:rRNA from 1 species